rnacentral:rRNA from 2 species
UUAAAUUGAAGAGUUUGAUCAUGGCUCAGAUUGAACGCUGGCGGCAGGCCUAACACAUGCAAGUCGAACGGUAACAGGAAACAGCUUGCUGUUUCGCUGACGAGUGGCG